rnacentral:rRNA from 1 species
GUGCCAGCCGCCGCGGUAAUACGGAGGGUGCAAGCGUUAUCCGGAUUCACUGGGUUUAAAGGGUGCGUAGGCGGGUUGGUAAGUCCGUGGUGAAAUCUCCAAGCUUAACUUGGAAACUGCCGUGGAUACUAUCAAUCUUGAAUAUAGUGGAGGUGAGCGGAAUAUGUCAUGUAGCGGUGAAAUGCUUAGAUAUGACAUAGAACACCCAUUGCGAAGGCAGCUCGCUACACUAUUAUUGACGCUGAGGCACGAAAGCGUGGGGAUCAAACAGGAUUAGAUACCCCUGUAGUCC